rnacentral:rRNA from 1 species
UACGGAGGGUGCAAGCGUUAUCCGGAUUCACUGGGUUUAAAGGGUGCGUAGGUGGAUCGGUAAGUCCGUGGUGAAAUCCCGAGCUUAACUCGGGAACUGCCGUGGAUACUAUCGAAUCUUGAAUACUGUGGAGGUAAGCGGAAUAUGUCAUGUAGCGGUGAAAUGCUUAGAUAUGACAUAGAACACCGAUAGCGAAGGCAACUUGCUAACACAGUUAUUUGACACUGAGGCACGGAAAAGCGUG